rnacentral:rRNA from 1 species
UACGAAGGGGGCUAGCGUUGUUCGGAAUCACUGGGCGUAAAGGGCGCGUAGGCGGCCGAUCAAGUCGGGGGUGAAAGCCUGUGGCUCAACCACAGAAUUGCCUUCGAUACUGGUUGGCUUGAGACCGGAAGAGGUAAGUGGAACUGCGAGUGUAGAGGUGAAAUUCGUAGAUAUUCGCAAGAACACCAGUGGCGAAGGCGGCUUACUGGUCCGGUUCUGACGCU